rnacentral:rRNA from 1 species
UACGAAGGGGGCUAGCGUUACUCGGAUUGACUGGGCGUAAAGGGCGCGUAGGCGGCUUGUACAGUCAGACGUGAAAUUCCUGGGCUCAACCUGGGGGCUGCGUUUGAUACGUGCGGGCUUGAGUUCGGAAGAGGGUCGUGGAAUUCCCAGUGUAGAGGUGAAAUUCGUAGAUAUUCGCAAGAACACCAGUGGCGAAGGCGGCUCACUGGCCCGUAACUGACGCUGAGGCACGAAAGCGUGGGGAGCAAACAGG